rnacentral:rRNA from 2 species
UACGGAGGAUCCAAGCGUUAUCCGGAAUCAUUGGGUUUAAAGGGUCUGUAGGCGGUCUUGUAAGUCAGUGGUGAAAGCCCAUCGCUCAACGGUGGAACGGCCAUUGAUACUGCUGGACUUGAAUUAUUGGGAAGCAACUAGAAUAUGUAGUGUAGCGGUGAAAUGCUUAGAGAUUACAUGGAAUACCAAUUGCGAAGGCAGGUUGCUACCAAUGGAUUGACGCUGAUGGACGAAAGCGUGGGUAGCGAACAGG